rnacentral:rRNA from 1 species
UCAAGCGAACAAGGGCGCAGGGCGAAUGCCUUGGCACUGGGAGCCGAUGAAAGACGUGAUAAGCUGCGAUAAGCUUCGGGGAGCUGCAAAUAAGCAUUGAUCCGGAGAUUUCUGAAUGAGGAAACUCACCUGGGUUCAUACUCAGGUACGUUGUACUGAAAUUCAAAAUAGGUACAUCGAGGGAACCGCCUGAACUGAAACAUCUAAGUAGGGCGAGGAAGAGACAUCAAACGAGAUUCCGUAAGUAGUGGCGAGCGAACGCGGAAGAGGGCAAACCGAGAGUAGAAAUACUUUCGGGGUACGGACUGCUUUUAAGACUGAAUCUGUUAACCGAACGGCAUGGGAAGGCCGGUCAGAGAGUGUGAGAACCACGUAGGUGAAAACGGAGAGAGCUGCGCAGGAUCCAGAGUACGGCCAGACACGUGAAACCUGGUCGGAAUACGGGGGGACCACCCUCCAACCCUAAAUACUACCCAGUGACCGAUAGCGUAUAGUACUGUGAAGGAAAGGUGAAAAGCACCCCGGGAGGGGAGUGAAAAAGAACCUGAAACCCUGUGCCUACAAGCACCUAGAGCGCGUCAAUGCGUGAUAGGGUACUUUUUGUAGAACGGUCCGGCGAGCGAUUGUAUGCAGCAAGGUUAAGGACUUAAGGUCUGGAGCCGAAGCGAAAGCGAGUUUGAAAAGGGCGUUAAGUUGCAUAUAAUGGGCCCGAAACCGGGUGACCUACCCAUGGUCAGGUUGAAGUGGAAGUAAAAUUCCAUGGAGGACCGAACCGACCUCCGUUGAAAAGGCGGCGGAUGAACUGUGGGUAGCGGAGAAAUUCCAAUCGAACCCGGAGAUAGCUGGUUCUCCCCGAAAUAGUUUUAGGACUAGCCUCAAGUUAGAUACCUGGAGGUAAAGCACUGAAUAGCCUAGCGGCCGAGAGGUUAGCGAAGCUUAUCAAACUCAGAAUGCCAGAGUAUUGAUGCUUGGGAGUCAGACAGUGUCAGAUAAAUGUCAUUGUCAAAAGGGAAACAGCCCAGAUCUACAGCUAAGGUCCCAAAGUCAGGUUAAGUGGAAAACGAUGUGAAGAUACGCAGACAACCAGGAUGUUGGCUCAGAAGCAGCCACUCAUUCAAAGAGUGCGUAAUAGCUCACUGGUCGAGCGUCUUUGCGCGGAGAAUUUAACGGGGCUAAACCUGACACCGAAGCUUAGGCAAUACAGCAAUGUAUUGGGUAGGGGAGCGUUGUAUACGCGGAGAAACAGUAGCGCAAGCGGCUGUGGAGUGUAUAGAAGUGAGAAUGCCGGAAUGAGUAGCGCGAAUGCAGUGAGAAUCUGCAUGGCCGAAAGCCUCAGGUUUCUGGAGGAAGGUUCGUCCGCUCCAGGUUAGUCGGGAGCUAAGGUGAGGCCGAAAGGCGUAGCCGAUGCACAGACGGUAGAGAUUCCGUCACCACCAAAAGAGUUAAGCACAGGGACACAUUUGAAGUCUCAGAGCCGGGUGUUGGUUCCGGUAGAGAUCGAGGGAAAUUAGUACCGAAGUCUGAGAUGGAAGAUGGCGAGAAAAGCUGUGUGUAUUUCUGAGGUGCCCGUACCGCAAACCGACACAGGUAGGUAGGAAGAAGAUUCUAAGGCCAACGGGAGAAGGGUUGUUAAGGAACUCGGCAAAUUGACCCCGUAACUUCGGGAGAAGGGGUGCUCCAGAGAUGGAGCCGCAGAGAAUCGGCCCAAGCAACUGUUUACCAAAAACACAGGUUUGUGCUAAAUCGAAAGAUGACGUAUACGAGCUGACGCCUGCCCGGUGCUGGAAGGUUAAGAGGAGAUGUGCAAGCAUUGAAUCGAAGCCCCAGUGAACGGCGGCCGUAACUAUAACGGUCCUAAGGUAGCGAAAUUCCUUGUCAGGUAAGUUCUGACCCG